UUGUGAGGUAGAGGCGCACUUAUUUAUUAGUCCUAUGUUGAGUUUGAGGAAACGAUGAAACUGGGAGAAGGAAAUAGUGCCGAAAUGAAUAAUAACCUCAUUAUUAUUUGUUGGGUCUGUAGCGAAUAACUGCAGAACUGUCUUAAUAAGCUACCCAGUUUAUUAAGUUGUGCUAUCUCGAAU
rfam:Carnobacterium maltaromaticum LMA28 complete genome